GAUUGACCUCGGAUCAGGUAGGGAUACCCGCUGAACUUAAGCAUAUCAAUAAGCGGAGGAAAAGAAACCAACAGGGAUUGCCUCAGUAACGGCGAGUGAAGCGGCAACAGCUCAAAUUUGAAAUCUGGCCUUAAGCGGGGUCCGAAUUGUAAUUUGCAGAGGGCGUUUCGGGCGACGCGCCGGUCUAAGUCCCUUGGAACGGGGCGUCAUAGAGGGUGAGAAUCCCGUAUGUGACCGGCGACCGAGCCUGUGUGAAACCCCUUCGACGAGUCGAGUUGUUUGGGAAUGCAGCUCAAAGCGGGUGGUAAAUUUCAUCUAAAGCUAAAUACCGGCCAGAGACCGAUAGCGCACAAGUAGAGUGAUCGAAAGAUGAAAAGCACUUUGGAAAGAGAGUCAAAAAGUACGUGAAAUUGUUGAAAGGGAAGCGCUUGCAACCAGACCUGCCCGCGGGUGAUCAGCCGUCCUUCGGGGCGGUGCACUCACCCGCGAUCAGGCCAGCAUCGGUUCGGGCGGCCGGAUAAAGGCCUUGGGAACGUGGCUCCCCUCGGGGAGCGUUAUAGCCCAGGGUGCAAUGCGGCCCGCCCGGACCGAGGACCGCGCUUCGGCUAGGAUGCUGGCGUAAUGGUUGUAAGCGGCCCGUCUUGAAACACGGACCAAGGAGUCKACCWACCGUGCGAGUGUUUGGGCGUCAAACCCACACGCGCAAUGAAAGUGAACGGAGGUGGGAACCCCUCGCGGGGCGCACCAUCGACCGAUCCAGAUGUCUUCGGAUGGAUUUGAGUACGAGCAUGGCUGGUCGGACCCGAAAGAUGGUGAACUAUGCCUGGAUAGGGUGAAGCCAGAGGAAACUCUGGUGGAGGCUCGCAGCGGUUCUGACGUGCAAAUCGAUCGUCAAAUUUGGGCAUAGGGGCGAAAGACUAAUCGAACCAUUGAUUUUUGGUGGCUUAUUGGGGUGUCUCGCGCCCCCAGUUCAGGCUCCCCAUGCCCGGGCGACGUCGCUAGUUGCAUGAAUACCUCCCGGUUGGAGGUCAAUAUGCCGCGGCCGCCCCCGUUCUCGCAGCGGGGGCGCUGUACACAGACUAAAUAGCGAUGGCCGGUCCCCCGGACCGGUUCAGAUAUAGCCGAUUCCACCCCGCUUAACGGGGUAGCCCUGGGGUAAUCCC
rnacentral:rRNA from 1 species